ACGGCCCAGACUCCUACGGGAGGCAGCAGUAGGGAAUCUUCCGCAAUGGACGAAAGUCUGACGGAGCAACGCCGCGUGAACGAUGAAGGUCUUCGGAUCGUAAAGUUCUGUUGUUAGGGAAGAACAAGUACCGUGCGAAUAGAGCGGUACCUUGACGGUACCUAACGAGGAAGCCCCGGCUAACUACGUGCCAGCAGCCGCGGUAAUACGUAGGGGGCAAGCGUUGUCCGGAAUUAUUGGGCGUAAAGCGCGCGCAGGCGGUUUCUUAAGUCUGAUGUGAAAGCCCACGGCUCAACCGUGGAGGGUCAUUGGAAACUGGGGAACUUGAGGACAGAAGAGGAGAGUGGAAUUCCACGUGUAGCGGUGAAAUGCGUAGAUAUGUGGAGGAACACCAGUGGCGAAGGCGACUCUCUGGUCUGUUUCUGACGCUGAGGUGCGAAAGCGUGGGUAGCAAACAGGAUUAGAUACCCUGGUAGUCCACGCCGUAAACGAUGAGUGCUAGGUGUUAGGGGGCUUCCACCCCUUA
rnacentral:rRNA from 1 species